AUUGAACGCUGGCGGAAUGCUUUACACAUGCAAGUCGAACGGCAGCGGACCUUCGGGUGCCGGCGAGUGGCGAACGGGUGAGUAAUGUAUCGGAACGUACCUUUCAGUGGGGGAUAACGUAGCGAAAGUUACGCUAAUACCGCAUAUUCUGUGAGCAGGAAAGCAGGGGAUCGCAAGACCUUGCGCUGAUUGAGCGGCCGAUAUCAGAUUAGCUAGUUGGUGAGGUAAAGGCUCACCAAGGCGACGAUCUGUAGCGGGUCUGAGAGGAUGAUCCGCCACACUGGAACUGAGACACGGUCCAGACUCCUACGGGAGGCAGCAGUGGGGAAUUUUGGACAAUGGGGGCAACCCUGAUCCAGCCAUGCCGCGUGAGUGAAGAAGGCCUUCGGGUUGUAAAGCUCUUUCGUCCGGGAAGAAAUCGCAUCAGCUAAUACCUGGUGUGGAUGACGGUACCGGAAUAAGAAGCACCGGCUAACUACGUGCCAGCCGCCGCGGUAACAC
rnacentral:rRNA from 1 species